rnacentral:rRNA from 1 species
ACUCCUACGGGAGGCAGCAGUGGGGAAUCUUGGGCAAUGGGGGCAACCCUGACCCAGCGACGCCGCGUGAGGGACGAAAUCCCUUGGGAUGUAAACCUCUGUUGUGCGGGACGAAGGACGUGACGGUACCGCACGAGGAAGCCCCGGCAAACUACGUGCCAGCAGCCGCGGUAAUACGUAGGGGGCGAGCGUUGUCCGGAAUUACU